rnacentral:rRNA from 1 species
CCUACGGGAGGCUGCAGUGGGGGAUAUUGGACAAUGAGCGCAAGCCUGACCCAGCAACGCCGCGUGAAGGAAGCAGGCUUUCUGGUUGUAAACUUCUUUUAACAGGGAAGAGCAGCACACUAUACCUCUUGCAUCCGCCACGGCUAACUACGUGACAGCAGCCGCGGUAAUACGUAAGGGGCACGCGUUUUCCGGAUGUCCUGGGUGUAAAGGGCGUGUAGCCGGGCUGACAAGUCCGAUGUGAAAUCCCGUGGCGCAACCCCGGAACUGCAUUUGAAACUGUCGGUCUGGAGUACAGGAGAGGCAGGCGGAAUUCCUAGUGUAGCGGUGAAAUGCGUAGAUAUUAGGAGGAACACCAGCGGCGAAGGCGGCCUGCUGGACGAAAACUGACGGUGAGGCUCGAAAGCGUGGGGAGCAAACAGGAUUAGAUACCCUUGUAGUC